UGAAAGAAUAGGAAAAAUCACAGGAUUUUUAACUUCCUAGGUAAAUACAAUCGACCUUAAUGCUGCAAAUACCAUCCUGGCAUCUGGAACCAAAGAGGGCACCAUUAGUGUUUGGGAUGUUACUACAGCAACAGUGUUGCACCAGUUGCCAUGUCACUCUGGGACUGUAUUUCAUGCUGCUUUUAGUCCUGACAGCAGACAUCUACUGAGCACAGGGGAGGACUGUUGUUUU